rnacentral:lncRNA from 1 species
ACACUAGAGGAGGUAUACCAGUAUAUGCAUAUAUUGAUAUAUGGAUGCUGACAAGAAGUAGUAUUAAGGACAAUGUGAGCAAAACAUUCUAAUAAUGCUACUGCAAGAAUUAUUGUACAAUGUCUAGCAUCCGCUCGCAUGUUUUUUUUUUCUUAUUAUGUCUGCAAUAGUUUCAAACCCGCCUGAAUCGAACAGGAACCUUGGCAUCUUGGCGCGGGCCAAUGAAUUCAUUCAGGCAGUAGCAAGCCGGGAGAUGCAAGGAAACUUUUUGUCAAGCAUUUAUAUGUGUUUCUUUUUUGGUC